rnacentral:tRNA from 1 species
ACACUUAUAACUCAAAUGGAUAGAGUAUCGGAUUUCGGUCCCGAAAGUUAUAGGUUCAAGUCCUAUUAAGUGUA